GUUAUAGUAGUCGUAGUAGUAGAGGUUAUAAUAGUAGUAGAGGUUAUAGUAGUAGUAGUAGAGGUUAUAGUAGUAGUAGUAGUAGUAGUAGUAGUAAUUACCCUCUGAACUAUGUCCCCCACUUUUCUCAUUUAAUACAUUUUUUUAUUUACCAAUAAGCAAGAAUUUCCCAGCAAAACAAUCGAUUUAUGUUUAUAUAAAAUGCAGACACGGACAUAAAGAGGAAAACAAAACAAAACAAAAA